rnacentral:RNase_P_RNA from 1 species
GAAGUUCGCUAGGCAGUCGCUGUGAACGCAAGUUCAUGGAGGAAAGUCCGGGCCCCAUAGAGCAGGAUGCCGGCUAACGGCCGGGCGCUAUAAGUUGCAAUCCGGGAAAUCCGGAAGGCAACCCAAGGCGACGGAAAGUGCAACAGAAAGAUACCGCCUAAGUUCGCAAGAACCGGUAAGGGUGAAAUGGCGAGGUAAGAGCUCACCGCGGACGUGGCGACACGGACGGCACGGCAAACCCCAUUCGGGGCAAGGCCAAAUAGGGAAGCCAUGACGCUGCUCGCGUCGCUUCCGGGUAGGCUGCUAGAGCCCGUCGGUAACGGCGGGCCCAGAGGAAUGACUGCCCAAGACAGAACCCGGCUUAUCGGCGGACUUCCACU